UUACUCCAUGUGAAUCCUCCACCAUCGGGGAGAAACCUAUGAGGCCAUUCAAGAGAUUUUCAGUUUCCUGGAGGGUAUGGAGAGGAGGAUUAUGCUGAAGUUGGAAAGGAUGCACGAGGACCUAAGAAAUGGCAAUGGUAGAGUCAUGGAGGCUGUGGAGUCCAGGCCAGGAAGGACAUCUGAGGCAGCUGAAGAGGACAUGUUAGAGGGUCCAUGUCAAAACCUCGCAGACUUGGAGGACCUCUGCAAAAAGAUUGCAGCUCUUUUAAAAAGAAAAUGAUUCGGCACCUGAGCCUUCUUGGAGGCAGCAAUGUCGGGGAUGGGGUUCGAAGGAUGCUGAAAAAAAUCGGCACUAAUGAGCUGUGGAAGGGGUUCAGUUUAAAGGGGAGAAAGGGGAAGAGACCCUUCCACAGUUUAUUAAUUUAUGACGUGGUGAUACGUGCCUGCAGCCGUACCUUUCCGAAUGUGGACUGCCAGAAGGUGGAGGAGGCCAUUGCGGUUACCCUCAAACAUGCUCCCCACCGCAGAUCAACAAACCAGGUAUUGAUUCCGGACGACCUGGUGGAGGACGAGGAGGAGGAGGAGGGGGAGGAGUCAAUCCAGGCUUUAACCCAUAAAUAAAGAAUUUGUUUAUACUUUAAA
ensembl:lncRNA